CUAUGCUCAGCGACGGCCCUGAUCAAGUGUAGUAUCUGUCCUUAUCGGUUUAAUAUCUGAUAUGCUUGUCCUUUGGAUGGCAUGAUCUUAAAAUUAUUUUCGUGGGGGAGUUCCCAUCAAGUAGCUUGCUGCUGGGGUUCUCAUGCGUCCCUCUGCGUUGCACUACUGCAAAGGCCUGACGCACCCCUA